CCCUCCUCCUCCCCGCUCCUCAUUUUGUCCCCCCCUCCCUCCCUCCCCUGUAACCCCGCGCCAUGGCACGGCCCCCCCCGGCGCCGCGCCGGCCCCCCCCGCGCCCCGGGGCCCCUACGAGUCAGGUGUGAGGCCCCUGGUGCCCCACCUCCACCGCAGGACGAGGCAGUCCCCGCAGCUCCCCGCAACCUCCUUGCUGGGGGCACUCCCGACGUUGGGGUUUUCCUUAUUUUGGGCUUUUUUUAAAUAAUUUUUUUUGGCCAACACCUCUUCCCCCCUCCCCCCGCCAAUCCUCCUUUUUCCUUUCCUCCCUCCUGCCUCGCCGUCAGGGAAUCCAGCACUGCACAGAAGCCAGAAGAACCCAACCCCAGGCUAAAAGCUGCGUCCAAACCAAAACCCACCCUUUUAAUCAUAGCAAAGGAGAUUUUUUUAGGGGGGGUUCUUCCUUUUGUUUUUUCCUCUUUAAAUUUUUAUUAUUAGCAUUUUUUAAUCCCGCCCCGAAUCGCAGGGGAGGAAGCAGAGUUGGGUCAGGGAGGCUUCCCUGGUUAUUUAUUUUCUACCCCCACCUCCCUCACCCCCAACCCUGCAGAGGUGUCUUCUCCUUGGGGGGCCACCGGCUCACCAUGAUGUUUCGAGACCAGGUUGGCGUGUUGGCCGGUUGGUUCAAGGGCUGGAACGAGUGUGAGCAGACUGUUGCGCUGCUCUCCCUGCUCAAACGCGUCAGCCGGACCCAGGCUCGCUUCCUCCAGCUCUGCCUGGAGCACUCGUUGGCAGACUGCACCGAGCUCCACAUCCUCGAAGGGGAAGCCAACAACCCUGGAAUCAUUAAUCAAUGGCAACAGGAAUCCAAGGAUAAAGUGAUUUCCCUAUUGUUAACCCACCUGCCUUUACUGAAGCCUGGGAACAUCGAGGCAAAAGUCGAGUACAUGAAACUCUUGCCUAAAAUCCUGGCCCACUCAAUCGAACACAACCAACACAUCGAGGAGAGCAGGCAGCUGCUGUCCUACGCCUUGAUACACCCUGCCACCUCUUUAGAGGACAGGAGCGCCCUGGCCAUGUGGCUCAACCACCUGGAGGACCGCACGUCAGGUGGCUUUGGUGGCCAGACCAGAGGCCGGUCGGAUUCGGUGGACUACGGGCAGGCGCACUACUAUCACCAAAGACAAAACUCCGACGACAAGCUCAACGGAUGGCAAAACUCUCGAGACUCGGGCAUCAGCGUCAGCGCCUCCAGCUGGCAGGACAAAAACCUGGCCUGCGAGAACGGCCAUCUGCCCCUCUACUCCUCCUCCUCCGUCCCCACAACCAUCAACACCAUCGGCACUAGCACAAGCACCAUUCUCUCAGGCCAGACACACCACAGCCCUUUGAAACGCUCUGUGUCCCUUACCCCACCCAUGAAUGUGCCAAACCAACCUCUAGGACAUGGAUGGAUGUCUCAUGAGGACUUACGAGCUAGAGGACCCCAGUGCAUCCCUUCCGAUCAUGCCCCCCUGUCUCCACAAAGCAGUGUAGCCUCUUCGGGAAGUGGUGGGAGUGAACAUUUAGAAGAUCAGCCUUCUGCUCGUAACACAUUCCAGGAGGAAGGGAGUGGGAUGAAAGAUGUCCCAGCCUGGCUGAAGAGCCUGCGGCUGCACAAGUACGCUGCCCUCUUCUCACAGAUGACCUAUGAGGAGAUGAUGGCCCUCACCGAAUGUCAGCUGGAGGCACAGAACGUUACCAAAGGCGCAAGACACAAAAUAGUCAUCAGUAUUCAAAAGCUAAAAGAAAGACAAAACCUGCUGAAAUCUUUAGAAAGGGACAUCCUGGAAGGUGGCAACUUGCGUGUCCCGCUGCAGGAACUACACCAAAUGAUCCUCACCCCCAUCAAAGCUUACUCUUCGCAAAGCUCGAGCACCGAGGAGCACAGCCGGGACGCGGACUCGCACCACCCCUCCUCCCUGCUUGGCUCAGACAGCCAAGGCUCUGAGUGCAAGGACUCUGCCGUGGCAGGGAUGCCGCAGCAUCACUUACCUGGCUGCGAGGGCGAGUCAGGGGGCGGCCCUCUGCCUGAAGGUGACCUGCCUGGACAGUUCACCAGAGUGAUGGGGAAAGUAUGCACACAACUUUUAGUUUCCCGACCUGACGAAGAGAAUAUAAGUUCCUAUUUACAGCUCAUAGACAAAUGUCUAAUCCAUGAGGCGUUUACAGAGAUCCAGAAGAAGCGGCUGCUGUCAUGGAAACAGCAGGUGCAGAAACUCUUUCGGUCAUUCCCUCGGAAAUCCCUCCUGGAGCUGUCAGGCUACCGGCAGCAGAGGAGCCGAGGCUUUGGCCAGUCAAACUCCUUACCAACAGCUGGAUCUGCAGGGGCAGGACUGGGCCGGCGAAACCCUCGCCAGUUCCAGAUCCCCUCCCGUAACCUCCCCACCGCCCGGCUGGGGCUACUGGGUCCCAGUGGGCUACUGGGCACCCCCCAGCGCAGCGCUGCCGCCAGCCCUGCCAUCCUCAAGCAAGGCAGACAGAACCUCUGGUUUGCCAACCCUGGGGGCAGCAACAGCAUGCCCAGCCGCAGCCACAGCUCAGUGCAAAGGACACGCUCGCUGCCGGUCCACACCUCCCCGCAGACCAUGCUGAUGUUUCAGCAGCCAGAGUUCCAGGUGCCGGUGACUGAACCUGACAUCAACAACAGGCUGGAGUCCCUGUGCCUGAGCAUGACGGAGCACGCGCUCAGCGGUGAGCACUCCCUCCUCCUUGGGCUCUUCCAGCACGUCCACACCGCUUCCACUGAGCCCCCCAGCACCUGCCCAUGCCCUCUGCCCCCCAAAAGCUGGGACAGGCUGUGGCUGUGAGGGGAGGGGAUGGUGGCAAGGGCUGGAUGCAGAGAUACUCCCAGGAAUGCUCCUGAGGAUGCUUCUGGUGGAGAAGUCAGAUGGGGACCUUGGCUUUUCUCGGCAAGGUGACCGGGGUAGGGGUAAAACUGAAUGCAGGGAUUGCAGCCAGCACCAGUGGAAUCUGUGCUUAUUAGCCACUAGUUAGCUUACUAAUAAUAAUUAGUAUUAGCUUGCUAGUCUGUUACUGUUCCUUGAUAAAGCCCUGGCCACCAGCACGCUCAGAUGGUUCACAGGCUUUGGAGUACUUUACCCUUCUGUCACCGAUGUCCUUUGCUUGGCGUGGGGGGUGCAGGAGCCCCAAAAUCCAGGGCUGAAAACAUGCCAUGGGAUGCUGGGUGCUGUGCCUGGUGCUGUGCCAGAUGUUGUGCUGGGAGCUGUGGUGGCUGCUGUGCUGGCAGCACUGGCAGCUCCUUGCCCUCGCCUGGGGUGGCUGCAGGGUGCCAGCCCAGGCGAAUGGAUAACGGGCACAGGGUGGGAGGAGGACCAGGUGGAAAAACAGACAGGAAAAGUGGAAAAGGCAGCAGCACCAUGAUGGGAAACCUGGUGAAGCAAAACACACCGGCUCCAGAAGCACCCAGUACCCCUCACCAGAGCACUGGACCCCCAAGCACAAAGGAUGACCCCGGCGAUGGGAUGAGCACAGGCACCAGUGUCACCCAGACCCUCCCGAACAACCAGCUGGGGUCUGGCCCCUGCCAUCCCUGGACCGCGUGGAACGGUUGAGGACAGGAGCCCUCAGAGUGCCACCGGGCACCCCACAGCGAUGCCGCAGCCUGUCCCCGGGGAGAGGGACGCGAGAGCAAGGACUGUGAGAGGCAGCAGGGCCCUGGCAGUGCCACGGCAGCAUCCUCGGCCGGCAAACAAGGACACCUCUGUCACCCGAAGCGUUUCUGCGGCGCGUGCCCAGGCGAGGCUUAGCUGUCAUGUUCCUCUGCAGGGGACUGUUCCUCUGAGGCGUUUAUUCCAGAUGGCGUCGACCGAACCUCCACGAUCUAGAAGGCGUCGCGACAGGGACGCUGGCCGGGAGAACAACUGCUGCGGGUCCAGCGGCGAGGUCGGGGCUUGCAGGGAGCCUCACAAAUAGCUUGCAUCCCUUCUCCACUCUCCUCUCCUCUUCUUGCUCUCUCUCUCUUUCUCUCUCUCCUUGUUUUAAUUUUGUGAAUGUGUAGAUUGUCCUUGUGAACAUAUCAUUAGACUUGGAAUUUGUGUUGUCAUUUAUUACAUCCAUGCUAGGGGGUGGGGGGGGAAUUAAAACAAAAAACAAAAACAAAAAAGGGCAAAAACUCAAUGAGGAGGAUGAAGAAGCAUGGGGAGGGUGUCAGGGGGACGCGGCAGGAGAGUGCUGACAACGGAGGGCUCAUCGGAGCACUGUGGGCAAACCCUGUUUCUGGAUGAGGAGUGAAGUGGCUGUGGGUGUGUCUGACCAAAAACCCCCUGGGGAGGAUUUGUCCCAUCUGGGGACUUCAGGGGUGGUGGUCCUGUCUCUUUGAGUUUCUCUGUGUUAAGGCAUGGACUGGCCUGGCUAGCCCAGCCCAGACUUGAAAAAGAAAAAAAACCCACAAAACGCCAAAAUUUCCUUUCCAUUUAGCCAAGAGCAUCCAGCCGCAGAUUGGAGGCAGCGUUGUGCACAGGGCAGUGGAGGUGGAGGGGCAGUGGACACCUGCUGGGUGCAGGAUCAGCCCUCGCCUCGUGUCCCUGUGCCCCUGACAUGGGUUUGGGGAUUUUGGGGAGGGCAUCUCACCUGGGUGAGGGUCCCAGGGGUGUCAGCAAAGGGGGGGAAGGCUGGGUGAGUUUCUGUGUCUCUUGCCUUGUCUGCGUGGGUACUGGGAAGGUGCUGCAUCUAUGGCUUUACACAUCUGCCCCUAAAACUCAGCCAGGCCAGGGUUUUCCAGCCCUGAUGAGGGGUGGAGGAGGCUUGGGAGCAAGUGUGUGAUUUCAUUGACCCAGAUCAAACCCCAGCCCCAAAAAGCACCAAAUUGCAGCUUCACAGCCCCAUUUCCUUGCAGUAAAGAUGUGCUGGGGAGGAGACAUGGAUCUCAGCUGCCCCUUCACCUGCCACUGCACUGCUUUUUGCAACAGCUAAAUUUGGGCAUGGAAAAGAGCUAAAUCCAACACAGUGCUGCUUGAGCCUGUGCUCGAAGUGAGACUGGGGCCAGAAAAGCCACCAGCGCCCACAGUGAUGUUUGGGGGAGUGAUGGCUACACCGUUGGUCCUGCUGCUGCUCCCACGUCCUCUGAUGGAUUAAUAAUAAUAAUUUUUUAAGUAAUUAAAAUGAAAGGAGGUGAUGAGUGGGAGCAGCAGCCUUGGGGAUUGCAGCAAUAAUUCCAAGAGGGGCUCGGCCGUGAGCACCCCUGGGCAGCAGCGUGUGCUGGGACCGGCCAGAGCAGGGAGGAGGGAUGAGGGGGAACUGGCGCAUCGGCUGGCCCGGCAGAGGGGGGACAUGUGUCAAUCCAUUUGCCAUGCAGCAUUUUAAAGUUGUUUUCUUAAAAAAAAAAA